rnacentral:rRNA from 1 species
GAUGAACGCUAGCGGGAGGCUUAACACAUGCAAGUCGUGGGGCAGCACGGGGUAGCAAUACUCUGGUGGCGACCGGCGCACGGGUGAGUAACGCGUAUGCAACCUGCCCUGUACAGGGGGAUAGCCCGGAGAAAUUCGGACUAAUAUCCCAUGGAAAUAUUGGAAGGCAUCUUUUGAUAUUUAAAGUUCCGGCGGUACGGGAUGGGCAUGCGUAACAUUAGCUAGUUGGUAAGGUAACGGCUUACCAAGGCUUUGAUGUUUAGGGGUCCUGAGAGGGUGAUCCCCCA